rnacentral:rRNA from 1 species
GUGCCAGCAGCCGCGGUAAUACCGGCAGCUCGAGUGAUGUCCAAUAUUAUUGGGCCUAAAGCGUCCGUAGCUGGCCGCGCAAGUCCGUCGGGAAAUCCACCUGCCCAACAGGUGGGCGUCCGGCGGAAACUGUGUGGCUUGGAACCGGAAGGCUCAGAGGGUACGUCCGGGGUAGGAGUGAAAUCCCGUAAUCCCGGACGGACCACCGAUGGCGAAAGCACCUUGGAAGGACGGAUCCGACAGUGAGGGACGAAAGCUAGGGUCUCGAACCGGAUUAGAAACCCGGGUAGUCC